rnacentral:rRNA from 1 species
UCGACGAAGCGUGCGGAUGGAAUUUCUUCGGAGAGGAAGCCUGCAUGACUGAGUGGCGGACGGGUGAGUAACGCGUGGGCAACCUGCCCUGCACAGGGGGACAACAGCCGGAAACGGCUGCUAAUACCGCAUAAGCGCACAGCUUCGCAUGGAGCAGUGUGAAAAGCUGCGGCGGUGCAGGAUGGGCCCGCGUCUGAUUAGCUGGUUGGCGGGGCAACGGCCCACCAAGGCGACGAUCAGUAGCCGGCCUGAGAGGGUGGACGGCCACAUUGGGACUGAGACACGGCCCAGACUCCUACGGGAGGCAGCAGUGGGGAAUAUUGCACAAUGGGGGAAACCCUGAUGCAGCGACGCCGCGUGAGCGAAGAAGUAUUUCGGUAUGUAAAGCUCUAUCAGCAGGGAAGAAAUUGACGGUACCUGAGUAAGAAGCUCCGGCUAAAUACGUGCCAGCAGCCGCGGUAAUACGUAUGGAGCAAGCGUUAUCCGGAUUUACUGGGUGUAAAGGGAGCGUAGGCGGCCUGCCAAGUCUGAUGUGAAAUACCGGGGCUCAACCCCGGGGCUGCAUUGGAAACUGGCAGGCUGGAGUGUCGGAGAGGCAGGCGGAAUUCCUAGUGUAGCGGUGAAAUGCGUAGAUAUUAGGAGGAACACCAGUGGCGAAGGCGGCCUGCUGGACGAUGACUGACGCUGAGGCUCGAAAGCGUGGGG